rnacentral:rRNA from 1 species
UAGGGAAUCUUCGGCAAUGGACGAAAGUCUGACCGAGCAACGCCGCGUGAGUGAUGAAGGUUUUCGGAUCGUAAAACUCUGUUGCCAGGGAAGAAAGGCUAGGCGAGUAACUGCGCUUGGUUUGACGGUACCUGAGAAGAAAGCCCCGGCUAACUACGUGCCAGCAGCCGCGGUAAUACGUAGGGGGCAAGCGUUGUCCGGAAUUAUUGGGCGUAAAGCGCGCGCAGGCGGUCAUUUAAGUCUGGUGUAUAAACCAAAGGCUCAACCUUUGGACGCAUUGGAAACUGGGUGACUGGAGUGUAGGAGAGGAAAGUGGAAUUCCACGUGUAGCGGUGAAAUGCGUAGAGAUGUGGAGGAACACCAGUGGCGAAGGCGACUUUCUGGCCUAUAACUGACGCUGAGGCGCGAAAGCGUGGGGAGCAAACA